UACGGAGGGUGCAAGCGUUGUCCGGAAUCACUGGGCGUAAAGGGCGCGUAGGCGGCUCGGUAAGUAGGGGGUGAAAUCCUGCGGCUUAACCGCAGGGCUGCCUUCUAAACUGUCGAGCUCGAGCACGGUAGAGGCAGAUGGAAUUCCCGGUGUAGCGGUGGAAUGCGUAGAGAUCGGGAGGAAUACCGAUGGCGAAGGCAGGUCUCUGGGCUGACACUGACGCUCAUGCACGAAAGCGUGGGGAGCAAACAGG
rnacentral:rRNA from 1 species